rnacentral:lncRNA from 1 species
GGCAUGGGGAUCCUUAUGGAGAAGGUGAUUGGGUCGGUUGUCCUUGAAAGCAUGCUUAGGGAGUAGGGUUUCUUGAGACAAAGAGAGGCCAUGUUGGGACUGGAGGCCAAGGCAAGGUACUUAGACAUAUUAUUAGAUUGUCCAGAAAAACAUCUGUCCAGCAUAUAAAUGUAGGAUAGAUUCAAAGCAUCACAUUUACAAAGCUAGUAACAUGGUGACUACAAUGGCAAUGACACAACAACAGUUAGGAAAUACAGAAAAAGGAAAAAGGCAAGUUGUGUUAAUGUACCUAUUUUGCCAUUAACAGGUCUAUCAGGUUGACUAUAAAAAUAACACACAACUAGCUAUUUUUGAAAUAUGAAAUCAUGCACAGUACUUGUGCGCUGGCUUAUUUAUUUUACUUCAGAUAAAGUAGAUUUAAAACUAGGCUAGCAGAAGCCAACAAAUGACCAAAAUAGACCUCGACUGUAAGUGAAAUAAACUGUAACUACAACAUUGAGCCCAUAAUCUUAGUAGUAAAAUAAAAUGAAGUGGAAGAAGCCAUAUUGUAAUAGCAAUUUAAUAUUCAACAGAUUGUAAAGUGAACCUAGGAGGAAUCAUCAUACAAGCAAGAAGAAAAUUACUACUCAAUAUAAUCUGCCAUGAGACACAUUCAUGGUCACCCAGAGAGCCUCAGAAAUCUGAAUUGUGAAUCUCUUUAAAAUGACGGCUGUGCUCUAGCAGUACUUAAUUCAUUUUUUCAGGUUUUCCAGAGCAGAAGGCGCAGUAUCUGCUUCAAACCCGGCUCACACUGAGGAUGAACAACCUGGGUUACCUGGAUUACAAGAGAAAAGGAGGCUGCAUAAACGUCUUCCUGAGUCUCAUUUUCUGGGAAGAGUCACCAGGCAGCAAUGAGAAGAUUUCUCCUGGAUAACAGCAGGGAUGCUCUAAGUGGAGCUCCAUAUCACCAGCUCAUGGUUCAUAAGAGGCAAUCAAGAAAUCAGGGCAGCUUCCAUGCCCUAGGUCCAUUUUCCUUAGGAGGGCUUCUUUCCUAUACAUAGUGCAUUUGAACCUUGAAGAGAAAGCACGCAGAAGAUCACAGUCAGCAUCAUAGUUCCAUCUAGCCACUUUUUUUUCCCCACAGGUAAGAAACUUUAAGGUUGGAGACAUUAAAUUUCUUUAAGGUCACAUACUAAUUUUUACUUAUUUAUUUGACAGACAGUGAGACAGAGAGAAAGGUCUUCCUUCCAUUGGCUCACUCUCCAAAUGGCCACUAAGGCCGGCACUGCACCCAUCUGAAGCCAGGAGCCAG